CAUUUGGUUAUAUCUUAAAUACGUGUGCACCUUGUUUGUACUUUCGGCCCAAUGACCAAACAUUUCACUAGCCACGCGCCACCUUCAACGCGUGGGUAACAUCCACAAAGACCAUCACAAAUGUCAACAUUCCGAUCAACUCAAAAUCUGGACCGUCGAUCUCUCACCUCCUUCAGGAUGACAAAAUCCUAACCCUCCAUUCCGUCGUGGCCACCACGCGACUCGCAUUUCGCACUAUUCUUCUCCGAUAUUAGAAAAAAGAAAAAUUGAAGUGAGAGAAAGCAGCUUUGAUUUAUAGAGAGAGAAAGUUACUGUGUGUGUGUGUGUGCAGAUCUACUAAAGUUAGGGUUUUGUUGUCGAAUGUAUGACUUCGGGGACAAUGAUGAACGGUGAAAAUCGAGGAUCGAAAGAGCUGCAGAAAAUGCCUGAAAGCAAAGUCUACAGACGGAAGUCAUUCAAAGGGUUGAAUAACGUAGGUGAUGUGUUACAACAUCCACAUUCUCAAAUCCUAGGUCUGGAAGAUGCCAAUUUGUCUCAAAAGAUUGUUGGUUCAGAAGGUUCUUCGAGUCUGAACCGUUCUCUAAUAUUGGAGAAUAAUGGAAUAUUGGCAGGUAGUGGGCAAGAAAAUAGUGCUAGAAUCAAUUUAUCGUUCAAGUCCAAGCGGGAGAUGAGAGAGAUAAGAAGGAAGCUGCAGAGUGAGUUGGACUUGGUUCGGAGUUUGGUGAAGAAAAUCGAGGCAACGGAUGUACAGAAAACUGGCCCUGGAAUUGAUCAGGAUAGUGGGGCCCGACCGGUAUCUGUUGAGUCCAGGCCUUUGAAUCAGUUAAGUGUAUCAGUUGUGGAGAACAGCCAUGGUGUGGGUGAUAAUGUGGAGAAGGAGAAGAGGACACCAAAGGUAAACCAAUUUUAUAGGAAUAAAGAUUUUUUGUUAGCUAAGGAUAAGUUUCCCCCAGCUGAAAGCAACAAAAAGUCGAAAUCGAAAUCAAGUGCAAAGAAAGUGAGUGGGCCAGAAUCAGGACAUGCAAUACCGGGGAAGUUAUCAAAUCAAAUGCUAAAGAAUUGUCGUGCUUUGCUUGAAAGAUUGAUGAAGCACAAGCAUGGUUGGGUGUUUAACCAGCCUGUUGAUAUAAAGGCUCUUGGUUUACAUGACUAUUUUGACAUUAUUAAGAAUCCAAUGGAUCUGGGAACUGUGAAGUCCAGGCUGGAAACAAAUCGGUAUACCUCUCCUAAAGAAUUUGCUGAGGAUGUUAGACUUACAUUUCAAAAUGCUAUGACGUAUAAUCCGAAGGGCCAAGAUGUCCAUAUGAUGGCCGAUCAACUUAACAAGAUAUUUGAGGAGAAGUGGGCCCCUAUAGAGGCUGAUUAUAUUUGCGAAUUGAGAUUGUUAACGGACUCUGGAGGAAAAGUGGGCCCCAAGAGGACUUUAGACAGGUCAGAAUCAACGACCAAUCUCGUUGGUUCCAAGAUUAAAUCUGUCACUCUCCCCCAAUCUGGAAGGACCCCUGCACCAAAGAAGCCGAAAGCAAAGGAUCCUAAUAAAAGGGAGAUGACAUAUGAUGAAAAGCAAAAGCUGAGCACAUGCCUACAGAAUUUACCUUCUGAAAAGCUUGAAAAUGUUGUACAGAUAAUCAAAAAGAGGAAUUCAUCUCUAUGCCAACAGGAUGAUGAGAUUGAAGUGGAUAUUGACAGUGUUGAUACUGAGACCCUAUGGGAGCUUGACAGGUUUGUUACCAAUUACAAAAAGAGCUUGAGCAAGAACAAAAGAAAAAUUGAACUUGCUGAUCAAGAAAAAAGGGAAGUCGAGACGAAUGUUCAGGAGGAGAAUGCUAGCCCAGUUGUGGUAGAAAUUCCAAAAGAAAGCAAAGCAGCAGAAGAGAAAGGCACUUCCUCCACUCCUGCUCAUGUAGAAAAUCAGGGAAAAGAUGUUAGUCAGCCAAGCAGCUCUAACACUGACUCGGUGUCAUCAUCAAGUGAUUCUGAUAGCGAAAGCUCCGCAGGAGGUGGAUCCGAUGCCGAACAUUCACCAAAAAGUUGACUCUGCUGUCCAGAUAUAAUAUUCUCUCUUUUAAUGUCUUGUGCUUGAAGGCAAUGCAAUUAUAACAUGGUGUUGGUAACACAAAUGUUGGAAAUGUCACCUAUGUGAAAUUAUAGAGGUCUGAACAUCAUUGUUACAUAACAUGAUCGAUGAAAAUGAUUGGUGUUCAGGAGAGCUUCUAUGAUAUCCUUUUUGGAGAUGAUUUUGAGCAGCCCAGCCCAGCCCAUAGUCUUGUUGCUCUACCAGGGUUGUUUGAUUACAAAAGUAGCUGCAGAUGGUAGUUGAAUAUGCUGGCUGGUCUCAAAUUGUAUAAUAGUAGCACCUAGUUUGUAGCUUGUGUAUAUUUUGCUUAUGGAUUUCUGAAUGUGCAGUUUGAAGUCAUACUGUUCAGGUCACGUGGACCUGUACUCAGUGAUUGAAUCAAUUUAAUGUGGUUGAACCUUUUAUCUCU